rnacentral:rRNA from 1 species
GUGGGGAAUCUUCCGCAAUGGACGAAAGUCUGACGGAGCAACGCCGCGUGAGUGAUGAAGGUCUUCGGAUUGUAAAGCUCUGUUAAUCGGGACGAAAGAGCCUAGUGUGAAUAAUGCUAGGAAGUGACGGUACCGGAAUAGAAAGCCACGGCUAACUACGUGCCAGCAGCCGCGGUAAUACGUAGGUGGCAAGCGUUGUCCGGAAUUAUUGGGCGUAAAGCGCGCGCAGGCGGAUCUGCCAGUCUGUCUUAAAAGUUCGGGGCUUAACCCCGUGAUGGGAUGGAAACUACAGAUCUAGAGUAUCGGAGAGGAAAGUGGAAUUCCUAGUGUAGCGGUGAAAUGCGUAGAUAUUAGGAAGAACACCAGUGGCGAAGGCGGCUUACUGGACUGUAACUGACGCUGAGGCGCGAAAGUGUGGGGAGCAAACAGGAUUAGAUACCCUAGUAGUCC